rnacentral:rRNA from 1 species
AUUGAACGCUGGCGGCAUGCCUUACACAUGCAAGUCGAACGGCAGCACGGGUGCUUGCCCCUGGUGGCGAGUGGCGAACGGGUGAGUAAUACAUCGGAACAUGUCCUGUAGUGGGGGAUAGCCCGGCGAAAGCCGGAUUAGUACCGCAUACGAUCUACGGAUGAAAGCGGGGGACCUUCGGGCCUCGCGCUAUAGGGUUGGCCGAUGGCUGAUUAGCUAGUUGGUGGGGUAAAGGCCUACCAAGGCGACGAUCAGUAGCUGGUCUGAGAGGACGACCAGCCACACUGGGACUGAGACACGGCCCAGACUCCUACGGGAGGCAGCAGUGGGGAAUUUUGGACAAUGGGCGAAAGCCUGAUCCAGCAAUGCCGCGUGUGUGAAGAAGGCCUUCGGGUUGUAAAGCACUUUUGUCCGGAAAGAAAUCCUUGGCUCUAAUACAGUCGGGGGAUGACGGUACCGGAAGAAUAAGCACCGGCUAACUACGUG